rnacentral:rRNA from 1 species
AUACGGAGGGUGCAAACGUUGUUCGGAAUCACUGGGCGUAAAGGGCGCGCAGGCGGUUUGAUUAGUCAGAUGUGAAAGCCCACGGCUUAACCGUGGAAGUGCAUUUGAAACUGUCAGACUUGAGUACCAGAGGGGGUAGUGGAAUUCCCGGUGUAGAGGUGAAAUUCGUAGAUAUCGGGAGGAAUACCGGUGGCGAAGGCGACUACCUGGCUGGAUACUGACGCUGAGGCGCGAAAGCGUGGGGAGCAAACAGGAUUAGAAACCCGAGUAGUCC